CUCGGCUCGGUUUCGUUUAUCGAGUAUAUAUAAUUUCUUGAUCCUUCUCUCCGGGUCUUCAUCCGUCGGCCUUCAUUGAAGUCCUCGUUCCAAAUCAGUCGUUGGGGACCCUCCGACAUUCUUUUAAUCGAGUUCCACUGGAGAGGGAGGGAGCGAUAGGAAGAAUUAAAUGGAGAGGAUCGUGGGAGAGAAGUACAAAUUAGGUCGCAAAAUAGGCAGCGGAUCGUUUGGUGAAAUUUUUCUUGCGACCCAUAUCGACACCUGCGAAAUCGUCGCCGUGAAGAUUGAAAACCGCAAGACCAAGCAUCCGCAAUUGCUAUAUGAGGCCAAGCUAUAUAAUAUUCUUAAAGGAGGAAGCGGUAUUGCAAACAUGAAAUGGUGUGGAGUAGAUGGAGAAGACAAUGCCCUCAUCCUUGACCUGCUGGGACCAAGUCUUGAAGAUCUUUUUGUCUAUUGUGGAAGGAAGUUCUCCCUGAAAACGGUUUUAAUGUUGGCUGAUCAUAUGAUUUCAAGAAUAGAGUAUGUGCAUUCUAAAGGGUAUUUGCAUAGAGACAUCAAACCAGAUAACUUCCUCAUGGGUCUUGGCAGGAAAGCAACUCUGGUUUAUAUGAUUGAUUUUGGACUUGCAAAAAGAUAUCGAGACCCGACAACAAAUAAGCAUAUUCCUUACAGAGAGAACAAAAACUUGACAGGGACUGCACGUUAUGCAAGUUGCAAUACUCAUUUGGGAAUUGAACAAAGCCGUCGGGAUGAUUUGGAGUCACUUGGCUAUGUUCUCCUGUACUUUCUAAGAGGAAGUCUUCCUUGGCAGGGUCUAAAGGCUGCCGUAAAAAAGCAAAAAUAUGACAAGAUAUGCGAGAAGAAGUUAUCGACUCCUAUUGAGUUCCUGUGCAAGUCACAUCCUGUGGAGUUUGCGUCAUACUUCCAUUAUUGCCACUCUUUGACUUUUGAUCAAACGCCUGAUUAUGGAUUCUUGAAGCGCCUGUUUCGUGACUUGUUUACUCGUGAAGGAUAUGAGUUCGAUUAUGUAUUUGAUUGGACCAUUUUAAAAUACCAGCAGACACAACGGACAAAGACGCAGGCUCAAUCAACUCCAGUUGGAGUGACUAGCAGCCUACCAAUGCCAAUGGAUGUGAAUAAGCAUACAGGAAUUAAGGAUGCUUCUUAUUCAGCUCAGGUUACAAAGCCUGGGGGAGCAAGUAAGCAUACACAUCAAGAUGUUCAUUUGCAGUUUAGAUCAUCUACAAGUCGCAAUUUCGGUGUUCCAAAUCCAGUGGAGGAACAUACAGUGAGAAAUGUGCCGAUGCCAUCUACUUCAUCUGCUCUGCCAAGAGCCUUCAAAAGUAAAUUUGCCACACCUGAGGGUCCAGCACAAACUGUUUACAUGGGUCGUGGGCUCGGGAAUGGAACUGGUGCUUCAAGCAGCUGGAUGGCAUCAUUAAAACGAAAUUCUUCAACCAAGUAACCGCUAUGGAUCUGAAGUAUUGCACUUGAAGCAUGCACGCCGAUGGCAAAAGUGAUAUAGUUUCAAUUGAUUGAGGUCUUCCAUUGCCAGAUCGUAUAAUCUUUUUUUUUAUGCGACGGGACUAGAAAGUAUAAAUGCAUUGGAUGUUGCUAGGACUGGAUUUGUCGAAGAUUGGCACUAAGCAUUCCAAAGCAUUGGGUUUCUGCAUGCAUAGGUUCCCAGGCCCUUCGGAAUUUAAAAAGUACUGUAAGAUGUUCUUUCAGAUUUUUAUAUUCAAACAGUACGAAAGGAAGUUGUUCUUCGGAACUCUUGAUGUGAAAUGAAGAUGGUAUGUAGGAAUCUGUCUUAUCAAUUUUUGAGGCUCCGAGGUAACUAGUGUAGUUGAUGUUCUGAGGGCUCAACUUGCAUCAAGUCCUGUUCUCACUUCCUCUUCCCCCAACCUCUUUCUAUAUUUCACCUUUUGGCCAAGGAAUAGAUCCUAAUCCAUAAAAGAUACAAUAUUUUAUACGUGUGGAUAUAUUUCAUCUUACAUUCAAGAUGUGGAAAGAGGUCGUGUUGUCUUUAAGCAAAAGCCAUUGUGGACUAUUUCUUGUCUACGUGUUUUGUUUCCCUUUUUGUGCUGUCAUCCCUCUAUUACAUUUUUUUUUUUUUUUAAAUAUAGUCUGAACACAAUUGCUUGGCA